CAGAGUGUAGCUUAAUGGUAGAGCAUUAGCUUUGGGAGCUAAAGGCCGCUGGAUCAGUACCAGUGACUCUGA